AUGAUGAAUUUUACGGAGGAUGCUCCUGUAAAGAAAGGCUCUGUUCUCUUAACAAGGAUGGAAAGAACUCCAGAACAAUCUGACAUUCCAGUGUCUGCUAAUGACAUGUGUUCCCUUGCUGAAUGGCCAUCCCAUGCUCGCCGCAACCAAGCUGGUGGACAGAAGAAGAAAGGGCGAGGUGUUCUAAAAGGUUUUAAAGCAUCUAAGAAGCGUUCUGCCAAUGGAUCUGCAAAGCUAAAUAUUACAUUCUCUGAAAAAUUGGGUGGUACAGACAGAUGGGACCUGGAAGAUACACCAGAAAUAGAAGAAAAAGUUCUCAAAAUUGCGAAAGAGAGAUAUAGAGGCUGGCGAUCAACUCUAAGCUCCACUUACAAGGCAUACAAAACAGAUGCAGCUAGAUUGGCUAAUCUGUCAGAAGAUUUACAACCAGAAGAGUGGGAAUGGAUGAUUGAGUACUUUGGCACUGAUUCAAAAUUUCAGGUUAUCUCUAAGAUCACGAUUUGUCUAUUAUGUGUUAAGGAACGCAGCCAAAAGAACGUUGAUAACCGUAAGAAACAGAAGACAAAACAUAUAAUCAGAUCAAAAUCUUACUCGCAAGUUAGUUUUGAGAAGAGAAACUUGGAAAGUGGAGAAGAGCCAGAUUGUAUUGCUCUAUGGGAACUCACCCACACAAAUGAUGGAACAUGGUCUAACACAGAUUCCCAGAAAGUUUACGACCAAGCACUUCAAGAGGUUAAAAACAAAGAAGCUGAAACUGAAGGUCCACUUUCAAGUGAGCAGAAAAACAAUGUUUUCCAGACCGCUUACAAAGACACUCUGGAAUGCAAGUCAUCGCAGCCUCGUGGGUACGGAUACAUGGCCAAAACUUCAACUGGUUCUGAAAAGUUCCGUAUCCAGAUUGAAGAGCAAGCUCGUGCUACAGCAGCCACCCAGGAGCGAAACUCUCAGCUCAGCCAGCAGGUCAAUGACUUAGAAGAUCAACUACAAGCUGAACGCGCUAACACACAAGAGAGGAUUAACUUGGAGCAUGCUGAGAGAGAACAACUUGAGGAGAGGUUAAAAGAAGAGCGUGCUGAAAGGGAAAGAUUGUUGCAAGAGGAGCGAACAUCAAGACUGGAAUUUGAAAAAAACAUUAUGGCAAAGUUUGUACAAUUGAGCAAACAGAUGGAAACCCAACAGGCGAUGACAUCUAGUCCUAAUAAGACUCCAGGUUCAAGGCCGACUGCUAUUUCUUCAAAUGCUCUCAUACAAGCUGCAGCAAGGCAAUCUCGAAUGUUUAAAGCAAUAGAUGUCAUGAUCAUGCGUGUGAUGCCUUCGCUGAUGAGUCCACUGCAAUGUCCCAUGUAG
rnacentral:rRNA from 1 species